CCCUGCAAAAAAGCAGAAAACGAGGAGGAGUAAAAGAACGAAAAGGACACCAGGCACAAUGCCUUCUCAAUCAGAGUUGCCACUAGAAGCAAAUAAGGAGUGUCCUGCUAGGCUGAUGAACAGCUCUGAUGAAGAGGUGUUUGCCAAAGCUCAUAGUUACUUGAGAGGUGUCGUUAGUAGACUGUUGGACGAGGACCUGGGAUGUCAGUGAUCAACUAGUUCCUGAGCUCCCAAGCGGGUGGUAAAUUCCAUCUAAGGCUCAAUAUUGGCACAAGACCGAUCGCCAACAAGUACCACAAAGGAAAGAACUUUAAAGAGAGAGCUGAAGAGGUUGCAAAACCGUUAAGAGGUCAACAGGGAGGGUCUGUGCAGUCUGCUUGGAGGAUUCAACUGUCCAGCAUGCUUGGUCAGCCUGGGACAGCAG